rnacentral:piRNA from 1 species
UCCCGAGGAUUGUGCACUAUUACUUUG